UACGAAGGGGGCUAGCGUUGUUCGGAAUCACUGGGCGUAAAGGGCGCGUAGGCGGCUUUAUAAGUCGGGGGUGAAAGCCUGUGGCUCAACCACAGAAUUGCCUUCGAUACUGUAGAGCUUGAGACCGGAAGAGGUAAGUGGAACUGCGAGUGUAGAGGUGAAAUUCGUAGAUAUUCGCAAGAACACCAGUGGCGAAGGCGGCUCACUGGCCCGAUACUGACGCUGAGGCACGAAAGCGUGGGUAGCGAACAGG
rnacentral:rRNA from 1 species